AGAAAAUACUCGCCUCCCGUCUCAUCAAUCUUCAGUUCAAAGGAAAAAGAACCCAAAUCAAAAAGUCCAUAAAGAGACAAAUGGCGCCCAACGUGGGGCACUUUGAACUGAAGGCUCCUGUUGAGAAAAAAAAGGAAAAAAGAGAGAGAAGACAGCGGAAAGCUGGAAAAAAAGAGAAGACAGCGGAAAACUGGAAAACUCCCUGGAAAGGGGAAAAAGAAGAUCUCAGUAAUCCCGGUGCUGGUGAGAGCGGACAAGCCAAGCCAGACGUCUGUGAGCUGUGGAACAGAUCACAGAUAGAGGAGCUGAGAGGAAGCUGACCCUGAGGUCAGUCUGUGUUUGUGUAUUCACAGAUUCAAAGCAGAAGUGACUUCCUAGCAAAGGGGAUGGAGGCUCAUCAGCUGCAGAGACAGACAGCCCAGAGAGCAGAAGAGCGAGCACAUAGAUGUGGACUGUAUCGAGACCACAGCUGACAGCUGAACAGCUUGGAUCCCACAUCCAAGAGCAAUGAACUUUGGGUUUCAAUUAAAAGAGUGAAAAAAUUAAUAUUGUAAAGCCUCAUUUGUUAAAACAUGAGUGAAGGAAAAAUAACCCUGCUUGAAAAGUAAUCCAAGAAAAUAUCUAAGUUGAUUUUUUUUACUGUUUUUUUUU